GGUCCGUUAGCUCAAUGGUAGAGCGCUCACCUCCUACUGAAGGUUGAGCAUAGUGAGAAGUCGCGAGUUCGAAUCUCGUACGGAUCG